rnacentral:lncRNA from 1 species
UGACGUGCAUGCGAAGUAGAGGGUCUGCACAUCCAGACCUCUACGAAGAUUUAUAUUAGAUUAUUUGAGUUUUGAUCUCUAAUUCUACUAUGAUUCAAGUUAUAAUUUGAUCCUUAAUUAUGUAAAAGAAUAAAAAAAAUUUUAGAUGCAACCUGAGCCUUAUGAAAAAAAACUAUUUUCCUUCCCUUCAACUGGUAUCAAAGUAGGUCUGAAAUAUAUGCAUGCAUGAUAAAAAUUUUCAAGAU